rnacentral:rRNA from 1 species
CUACGUGCCAGCAGCCGCGGUAAUACGUAGGUGGCAAGCGUUGUCCGGAAUUAUUGGGCGUAAAGCGCGCGCAGGCGGAUUGGUCAGUCUGUCUUAAAAGUUCGGGGCUUAACCCCGUGAUGGGAUGGAAACUGCCAAUCUAGAGUAUCGGAGAGGAAAGUGGAAUUCCUAGUGUAGCGGUGAAAUGCGUAGAUAUUAGGAAGAACACCAGUGGCGAAGGCGACUUUCUGGACGAAAACUGACGCUGAGGCGCGAAAGCCAGGGGAGCGAACGGGAUUAGAUACCCCGGUAGUCCUGGCCGUAAACGAUGGGUACUAGGUGUAGGAGGUAUCGACCCCUUCUGUGCCGGAGUUAACGCAAUAAGUACCCCGCCUGGGGAGUACGACCGCAAGGUUGAAACUCAAAGGAAUUGACGGGGGCCCGCACGAGCGGUGGAGUAUGUGGUUUAAUUCGACGCAACGCGAAGAACCUUACCAGGUCUUGACAUUGAUGGACAGAACUAGAGAUAG